UGGCUGGGUGCCCUCGGUUCAUGUGAGAUGCUAGAUGUCACCUGCAGAAGAAGAGAGCAGCUUACCUCUUCCAGAGAGAUGGCCCCGAGCCAGCAAAUUCGCUCUGUCAGCCUGUGCAGCGGCUGUGGCAGAAUUAGUGACAUUUCCCCUGGAUCUCACGAAAACCCGGCUGCAGGUCCAAGGUGAAGCUGCGGCCGGGCCGGCGGUGCCGUACCGCGGGAUGCUGCGCACGGCGGCUGGAAUCGCGCAGGAGGAGGGGGUAUGGAAGCUCUGGCAAGGAGCCACGCCGGCCGUCUACCGCCACAUAGUGUACACUGGUGUCCGGAUGGUUACUUACGAACAUCUCCGUGACUCCGUGCUUGGCAGGGCAGAGGGUGAAAGCUUUCCUCUCUGGAAAGCUGUGGUUGGAGGCGUAUCUGCAGGUGCCAUUGGACAGUUUUUUGCCAGCCCAACUGAUCUGGUGAAGGUGCAGAUGCAGAUGGAGGGGAAAAGGAAGUUGGAAGGAAAGCCAUUACGGUUUCGGGGCAUGCACCACGCAUUUCUGAAGAUCCUGUCUGAAGGAGGAGUAAGGGGACUUUGGGCUGGAUGGGUACCAAAUGUCCAGAGAGCUGCUCUGGUGAAUAUGGGAGAUCUGACCACUUACGACACAGUGAAACACUUCUUGCUUCUGAACACGACACUUGUGGACAACAGUGUGACUCACAGUGUCAGCAGUGUCUGCUCUGGGCUGGUAGCAGCUGUGCUGGGAACUCCUGCUGACGUGGUCAAAACCCGGAUAAUGAACCAGCCAAGAGAUAAGCAGGGAAGAGGUCUGCUCUAUAAAUCUUCCAUGGACUGCUUGAUUCAGACAGUGCAGGGUGAAGGGUUAAUGUCUCUGUACAAAGGCUUUAUACCAACCUGGAUGCGAAUGGCACCCUGGUCGCUGGUAUUCUGGCUUACAUAUGAACAAAUCAGAAGGCUGUGUGGAGUUACUUCUUUUUAAAACCUUCAAUAUUCACAGAGAAGAGCAGUCAAGCUGAAUUCUCAUUCCACAGGGUAGUAGGAUCACAUGCAUAGCUUGUUGCUCCAAAUCCAGUCCUUACUAGUUGGGAACAGCCAUGACUUAAGAGACUGCCUGACCUCUCCACUCAACUCUUGAAGUAAGAUCAUGAUUGAAAUGCAGUCCUGUUCUCAGAAAAUCAAAAGCCUGGUUUGUUCUGCAAUGCUCAAAGGUCUCAGGAUAUUCCACAGGACCAAGGUGAACUACUUGUCCUGUGACAAUCUCAGUGCUGAUGUGGCAGGCUGGGUCAUUUUCCAUGGGAGCGUGCACUCUGCCCACUUUACAUCUCAAUGGAAAUACAGUGUUCUCUUCAAUAAUGCAAAAGGUUUGAACAGGAAUGAUUUAUUUAUUUUUAAACCUAAAGCCUUCCAGAUUUCAUAGAGAAGGAGACUACUGCUGUUUGUCACUAGGUUCACCUUUGGCAAUCAAGGGUCAAUAAUGCAGUAUUAAAUGCAGCCGUGAGUAGAUAAAACAAAGCUGGCUUUGAUUUAGUAAUAUCUAGUAAUUGAGUUAAUGUAGAAAAUGUGGCUCUUUGAAUAAAUACCCAGGAUUUCUUCUAGUCUUUGCA